CCUACGGGCAGCUGCAGUGGGGAAUAUUGGACAAUGGGCGAAAGCCUGAUCCAGCCAUGCCGCGUGUGUGAAGAAGGCCUUCGGGUUGUAAAGCACUUUCAGUGGGGAAGAAAGCCUUGGGGCUAAUACCCUCGAGGAAGGACAUCACCCACAGAAGAAGCACCGGCUAACUCCGUGCCAGCAGCCGCGGUAAUACGGAGGGUGCGAGCGUUAAUCGGAAUUACUGGGCGUAAAGCGCGCGUAGGCGGUCUGAUAAGCCGGUUGUGAAAGCCCCGGGCUCAACCUGGGAACGGCAUCCGGAACUGUCAGGCUAGAGUGCAGGAGAGGAAGGUAGAAUUCCCGGUGUAGCGGUGAAAUGCGUAGAGAUCGGGAGGAAUACCAGUGGCGAAGGCGGCCUUCUGGACUGACACUGACGCUGAGGUGCGAAAGCGUGGGUAGCAAACAGGAUUAGAUACCCUUGUAGUC
rnacentral:rRNA from 1 species